rnacentral:rRNA from 1 species
UUCCGGUUGAUCCUGCCGGAACAGACUGCUAUCGGAUUGAGAUUUAGCCAUGCGAGUCGAACGCCUUCCUGUUGCGGGAGGCGUGGCGUACGGCUCAGUAACACGUAGUCAACCUGCCCUAGAGACAUGAAUAACCCUGGGAAACUGGGAUUAAUACAUGAUAGAUCAUCUCAUCUGGAAGGAGAGAUGGUUUAAAGGGGUGCGCGAGCUUCUUUUGUGCAUCCGCUCUAGGAUGGGACUGCGGCCGAUCAGGCUGUUGGUGGGGUAAUGGCCCACCAAACCUGUAACCGGUACGGGCCUUGAGAGAGGGGGCCCGGAGAUGGACACUGAGAGAAGGGUCCAGGUCCUACGGGGCGCAGCAGGCGCGAAACCUUCGCAAUGCGCGAAAGCGUGACGAGGUUAAUCCGAGUGGUUCCCGCUGAGGGAAUCUUUUGUUGGCUCUAAAAUGGCCAGUGAAUAAAGGGAGGGCAAGUCUGGUGUCAGCCGCCGCGGUAAUACCAGCUCCUCGAGUGGUCGGGGCGAUUAUUGGGCCUAAAGCAUCCGUAGCCUGUUCUGUAGGUCUUCUGUUAAAUCCAACGGCUUAACCGUUGGCCUGCAGAAGAUACCGCAGGACUAGGAGGCGGGAGAGGUGGACGGUACUCCACGUGUAGGGGUAAAAUCCUUUGAUCCGUGGAAGACCACCAGUGGCGAAGGCGGUCCACCAGAACGCGCUCGACGGUGAGGGAUGAAAGCUGGGGGAGCGAACCGGAUUAGAUACCCGGGUAGUCCCAGCCGUAAACGAUGCGAGCUAGAUGAUCCAAUCGCAAAUCGCGAUUGGAGUGUCGCGGGGAAGCCGUUAAGCUCGCCGCCUGGGGAGUACGGUCGCAAGACUGAAACUUAAAGGAAUUGGCGGG